CCCAUUUGUGUGUUGGAUCUUCCCUUGGGCUGGGUGACCUUGAGGCUUAACCCCAACCACAGCAUGCUAGCUGCUGUGCUAAGCUGCCUCAGCAGGGUCUGGUGCCUGCCAAGAUCUUCCUUUGGAUAUGCUGCUUUUGAAGGUUAUUGGAUCCUGCUCUGAUGUUGCCCAAAGCUGGCCACUAGGUGUGUUGAUUCUGGGCCUCUGGGAGGGACUCUGGUGCAGGCCAAUGUCAGGUGCUGCCUGUGACUUGCCCUGGACAAUUUGUUUGGAGCUAUAAAGUGACCUUCAGUUUUUGACAGCCUCUGCUGGGACUGCGUCUGUGAAGGAAGGACCAAGGUGUGCACCAAAGCUGGCUAUUACCAGCACCAGGCCAAAGGGUAAGUCAGCAAAAGUUCCAAAUUACCCUGAGAUUCACCUCCAGCUGCCGGCUGCCUUUUAGGCUAAAUCGCUGAAUGAGCCUCUGCCAGUAUUCAAGUUGCAUGAGACUACAAAUCAUCUCUAGGGAGUCAUUGGGGGAAAUAGAAUUCAAGUGCAUCACUCUUGGAAAAACUACUCAAGGUUGCUGUGACUCUUAAAAGAAGUAGGAACUCCUUGGAAGUUUUGCUAAAGUAGUUGAAGAGAGCAAAAACAAUCUAAUAUGCUGAACAUAAAGGCAAGCAUUGCUGUACCUCCUCACUACUCCAGCUGAGAGGGAAAGAGAGACAGAAACGUCAAUGACGAGAGAAAUAUCAUUGAACGGCUGCCUGCUGCACACCCCCUAUUGGGGAUCGAGCCCGCAACCCGGGCAUGUGCCCCAACUGGGAAUUGACCUGUGACUUCCUAGUUCAGAGGUUGACGCUCAACCACUGAGCCACACCUGCUGGGCACAUGCUGCUAAUUUUAAAUAUUUUGUCUCCUUGUCCUCAAAAGUCACCCAAAUGUCCCAGAAAUUCUAAUGUUUCUUUAAAUAGUGGAUAAAAUAAAAUACACAGGAGUCUCCUCAAAUCUUCUAUCAUAUCAUAUUUCCUUAUUUGGGAUUCAGAAAAUAUGACCCAUGUACCACUGUGCCACUUAGCCCCUCAGACAAGUCAUGGAGAUUUGAUGUCUAUUGUAUCUGUUCAAUUUCACCCUUCCCAGAUAAGCUGGCUUAUGUAGCAUUAAGUGAAGGGUAGGUUGGGUCAUAGUUCUGGCCAUUUGAUCAGAAGGACGCCUCAAACUGCAUGACAACUCCAGAUGCACAAUUUAGAAGACAGGGAAGGACAUUCCAUUUCUGUCCAGAGCUACAUGAUUGUCAUUUUAGAGACCCCCAAACAGCACAGCUGAGUUCUGAAGCUCCCAGGAUCUUCUCCCCAGUCGUGGGUAUUUAUGUGUCAUGAUGAUCCAUGAUGUCAAAUUCCAGUCUCUGGGGCAGUGUGAUUUACCCAAGUUGGUCUGACCCUGAGCCCUGCAGCUGGAGCAGCCUAGGGUAUCACCUGCCAGGCUGGCAUCCAUACCUUCUACAAACCAGGCCAGCGUUGAGGAUGACUCGAGACAGAAGCAGGGACUGCUGGCUCCUUCCAUAAAGUUUAUGUGGAACCAAAUUGUGUCUAUUGUGCAUUAGAACAUAGUGGUGAUCUGUGUGUGCUCACAAUAUCCUCGCCCCGUGCAGUGCCACAAAGUGCAAAAACGCCUCUUAAAGAGGAAAGAAUCAGGUUUGAUCAAUACAUUAUGCAAGACCUUCUCACAGUCAGUAAAUUAUUAAUUAAUAAGUUAAAGCUUUUCCUAAUGUGGAUGCAAUUUAAAAAGAUAAUUUUUUACUUAAACCAUAGUCCAAGAUUCAAAUAUUGAUUUCUUCCCUGGUAGUUAUAGGCCAAAAGUUUA